UAAGGAAUAUUGGACAAUGGAGGCAACUCUGAUCCAGCCAUGCCGCGUGAAGGAAUAAGGCCCUAUGGGUUGUAAACUUCUUUUAGACGGGACAAAACCCCUUUACGUGUAAAGGGUUGAUGGUACUGUCAGAAUAAGCAUCGGCUAACUUCGUGCCAGCAGCCGCGGUAAUACGAAGGAUGCAAGCGUUAUCCGGAAUUAUUGGGUUUAAAGGGUGCGUAGGCGGACUGAUAAGUCAGUGGUGAAAGCCUGCAGCUUAACUGCAGAAUUGCCGUUGAUACUGUCAGUCUUGAGUACAGUUGAGGUAGGCGGAAUGUGUCAUGUAGCGGUGAAAUGCUUAGAUAUGACACAGAACACCGAUUGCGAAGGCAGCUUGCUAAGCUGUAACUGACGCUGAGGCAC
rnacentral:rRNA from 1 species